rnacentral:rRNA from 1 species
GACGAACCGUGCGAACGUUGUUCGGAUUCACUGGGCUUAAAGGGCGCGUAGGCGGGCGGCCGCGUCCGGGGUGAAAUCCCACGGCUCAACCGUGGAACGGCCUCGGAUACGGGCGGCCUGGAGGCGGGUAGGGGCAGGCGGAACUGUGGGUGGAGCGGUGAAAUGCGUUGAGAUCCACAGGAACGCCGGUGGCGAAGGCGGCCUGCUGGACCCGAACUGACGCUGAGGCGCGAAAGCCAGGGGAGCGAACGGG